rnacentral:tRNA from 1 species
AAAAUCCGUCGACUUUUAAAAUCGUGAGGGUUCAAGUCCCUCUAUCCCCM